rnacentral:tRNA from 1 species
GCGGAUGUGGCGGAAUGGCAGACGCACCAGACUUAGAAUCUGACGCCGAGAGGCAUGGGGGUUCAAGUCCCUUCAUCCGCACCA